UGGGGAAUAUUGGACAAUGGGCGCAAGCCUGAUCCAGCCACGCCGCGUGAGUGAUGAAGGCCUUCGGGUCGUAAAGCUCUGUGGGGAGGGACGAACCGCUGGAGGUUAAUAGCUUCCAGCAUGACGGUACCUCCUUAGCAAGCACCGGCUAACUUCGUGCCAGCAGCCGCGGUAAUACGAAGGGUGCAAACGUUGCUCGGAAUUAUUGGGCGUAAAGCGCACGUAGGCGGCUUAGCAAGUCGGAAGUGAAAUCCCACGGCUCAACCAUGGAAGUGCUUUCGAAACUGCUGAGCUUGAGUACAAAAGAGGAUCGCGGAAUUCCCGGUGUAGAGGUGAAAUUCGUAGAUAUCGGGAGGAACACCAGUGGCGAAGGCGGCGAUCUGGGUUGAUACUGACGCUGAGGUGCGAAAGCGUGGGGAGCAAACAGG
rnacentral:rRNA from 1 species